UACGUAGGGGGCUAGCGUUGCUCGGAAUCACUGGGCGUAAAGCGCGCGUAGGCGGAUUGUUAAGUCAGGGGUGAAAUCCUGGAGCUCAACUCCAGAACUGCCUUUGAUACUGGCGAUCUCGAGUCCGGGAGAGGUGAGUGGAACUGCGAGUGUAGAGGUGAAAUUCGUAGAUAUUCGCAAGAACACCAGUGGCGAAGGCGGCUCACUGGCCCGGUACUGACGCUGAGGUGCGAAAGCGUGGGGAGCAAACAGG
rnacentral:rRNA from 1 species